rnacentral:lncRNA from 1 species
AAAAAAAAAAAAAAAAAAGUCAAGGGCUCUCCUCAGUUUCUUUCAAAAUCCUCCAUGUUCCCUGGUUCCCUAUUUUUCUUGUAUUUGGCCUCUUUGGCCUCAAUUUUCUUUCCCUUGUCAUGUUUUUCUUGCCUUCUUACUUCUCUUUCCCCUCUUAUCCUUUCUUUUCUUCUUCUUCCUUUAUUUCUUUCUGUUCAUUCCCUUCUCUGGGCCUGUUCCCCCGCUCCCGCCUCUUUCUCCCCCUUCUCUUCCUCUGUCUCUCUCUUCUGUCCAUCUCUCAUGUGCUCCGACUUUCUCUUCUUAUCCUCUCAGUUUCCCUCUUAUUUUCCAGCCUGACCCUCAUCCUCCACUGGAUAAGACACCAUUAUCAGAAGCCCCAUGUAUUGGUCUCUGGAAGCAGACACAUUUUCUGGAGUUGCCAGGACAGAUCGCAGUCCUGGAGAGUCAGAGAGGAGCCCGGCUUUUGGCGAGGUCUCGACCUUCACCACACACAGACACACAGGCACACACACUCUGCAGCUUCCUCCUGCUUCCCGCACACCCCAUAGUUCACCGAGGCCGAAGAAGAAGGGGUUGAGUGAAAGGGGUGCUUCCCGAAGAAGUCUCCUCUCUGCUCUCCACAGUGGUGUCAGGAAGUGUGCCAAACGGGAAUGCCACUGACUGUGCCCUGAGGAUUUUGCAGGUAACUCGGUGAGAGGGCUUUUCCCAGACCCCCGAGGAACCACCUUUCUCACUAAAGGUGUGUCUUCUUAGGUGAUGUUUACAGUAAGUGAAGGGUAGGCUUUUGUUUAACAUAUCUUUACCAGGACACAUGACUUGCUGAGGAUGGGUCACUAAAUUUCCAAAGAACACUCCCAUUGCGACCCACCAGUACCCAUCCAAAGCUGUAUGAUUAACUGAGCAUGUAUGAUUAACUCAAAGCUCAUCUGAGAGAGUGAAACACAGCAAAGAAUCAUCUGUGGGGAAACCAACCACAGCACUGUUUAUAACUGACAAACAGCAAGGAACCUCAAUUUCCAAGAAUAGGGGUUUGAUUAAAUAGUGUAUCAUCCAAAUGAUGUACCAUUGUGUAACCAGGAAAAUGAGAUUUUAGAAGAAUAAUUAGGGAUAGGGAAAGAUGUUUAUGUUCUAAUAAUAUUUGGAGAGGCAGGCUGCAAAGCAUCAUUUCUGAGUAAAAUUAUAGUACCUUCACCUGUAUAGAAAUCUAGAAAUAUAAAUACAAACUGUCAGUUAUUGUUUUCAGAUGAGGAACUGGAUGUGACUUUUACUGUAGUUUCUGAUUUAAAUAAAUAGAGAAAGGCAAGCACACAGAUUUGCUUUUGGCUAAGUGUCAAAGGCAAGAGUAAUAUGGGGGGCUCCGCAGCAAACAUGGGCUAUAAAAGGAGGGCACCUAGCUACAGCUCUGAGUCUGGCACUCAGCUGGGUGGUUCGGAUUUGCCCAGGCUCAUGUUUCCCAGGUGAACAUGUAAACGAGGGCAGUACUUGACUCACGUGGUUGUCAGUGAGCAUUCAGUAGGCAAUGGAGAUAAAUCACUUCACAUGGUGCAGAGAGGAACACAACAAAUACUAAGUAUAUGUGGCAGUCAGUGUAGAUACAUACAAUCAAGCACACCCGAGUUUGCUACCUUGUGAGUUAAUUGAUCUGUUUUGACAGGUGGUGGCUGAGGAUUACAGUAAAAGGAGGGGAGGUUAUUUAGUGUUGAUGCCAACUGGAUGGCCAGAGUCCACCACUGGUAGGUGACAGAGAGGGUCCAGAGUCACCGAGUUCAUGGCUGAACUGGUUUGAGACCCAGUUUCCAGGCUUCACUCUGGCCCUCUUUGGCUGCGUCACGGGGGUCUUCUUGCUUAGAGCUGGUUUUGGAGGAAGCUCACCUGAGUUUCCUGAGUUGCCUGCAGCUCUGAGAUAAGAUGUAUAAAGUGGGGUCUGACUUAAGAGGCCUUGUCCAUUUCGCACCUCCGUUUUGUACCCAGA